rnacentral:misc_RNA from 1 species
GAAAGAGCUCAAAGUUGGAACCUGUUUGGCUUAGCUAAACCGGAUUGUAAACUGUAGAUACAUUUUCCAGAUACACUAGACAAAAAAGUCCUUUGGAACAGGGCAUCAUAGAGGGUGAGAAUCCCGUCUUUGGUCUAAGUAGUUGUCUAUUGUGAUAUGUUUUCAAAGAGUCAGGUUGUUUGGGAAUGCAGCCUAAAUUGGGUGGUAAAUCUCACCUAAAGCUAAAUAUUUGCGAGAGACCGAUAGCGAACAAGUACCGUGAGGGAAAGAUGAAAAGAACUUUGAAAAGAGAGUUAAACAGUAUGUGAAAUUGUUAAAAGGGAACCGUUUGGAGCCAGACUGGCUUGAUUGUAAUCAACCUAGAAUUCGUUUUGGGUGCACUUGCAGUCUAUGCCUGCCAACGACAGUUUGAUUUGGAGGAAAAAAUUAAUAGGAAUGUGGCCUCUCGAGGUGUUAUAGCCUAUUAUCAUACUCUGGAUUGGACUGAGGAAC